ensembl:miRNA
GAGGUGAGUGGAUUGCUUGAGUCCAGGAGUUUGAAUCUGCAGUGAGCUAUGAUCAUACCACUGCACUCCAGCCUGAGUGACAGAGAAAGACCCUGUCUCA